GACGAACGCUGGCGGCGUGCUUAACACAUGCAAGUCGAACGGAAAGGCCCUGCUUUUGUGGGGUGCUCGAGUGGCGAACGGGUGAGUAACAAGUGAGUAACCUGCCCUUGACUUUGGGAUAACUUCAGGAAACUGGGGCUAAUACCGGAUAGGAGCUCCUGCUGCAUGGUGUGGGUUGGAAAGUUUCGGCGGUUGGGGAUGGACUCGCGGCUUAUCAGCUUGUUGGUGGGGUAGUGGCUUACCAAGGCUUUGACGGGUAGCCGGCCUGAGAGGGUGACCGGCCACAUUGGGACUGAGAUACGGCCCAGACUCCUACGGGAGGCAGCAGUGGGGAAUAUUGCACAAUGGGCGGAAGCCUGAUGCAGCAACGCCGCGUGCGGGAUGACGGCCUUCGGGUUGUAAACCGCUUUCGCCUGUGACAAAGCGUGAGUGACGGUAAUGGGUAAAGAAGCACCGGCUAACUACGUG
rnacentral:rRNA from 1 species